rnacentral:rRNA from 1 species
GAGUUUGAUCCUGGCUCAGGAUGAACGCUAGCGGCAGGCUUAACACAUGCAAGUCGAGGGGUAUAGGUUUUCGGACCUAGAGACCGGCGCACGGGUGCGUAACGCGUAUGUAACCUACCUUUCACAGAGGGAUAGCCCAGAGAAAUUUGGAUUAAUACCUCAUGGUAUUAUGGAAUGGCAUCAUUUUAUAAUUAAAGUCACAACGGUGAAAGAUGGGCAUGCGUCCCAUUAGCUAGAUGGUAAGGUAACGGCUUACCAUGGCUACGAUGGGUAGGGGUCCUGAGAGGGAGAUCCCCCACACUGGUACUGAGACACGGACCAGACUCCUACGGGAGGCAGCAGUGAGGAAUAUUGGUCAAUGGGCGCAAGCCUGAACCAGCCAUGCCGCGUGCAGGAUGACGGUCCUAUGGAUUGUAAACUGCUUUUGUCGGGGAAUAAACCUACAUACGUGUAUGUAGUUGAAGGUACCCGAAGAAUAAGGAUCGGCUAACUCCGUGCCAGCCGCCGCUGUAAC